rnacentral:rRNA from 1 species
CACGUAGGGCGCAAGCGUUGUCCGGAAUUAUUGGGCGUAAAGAGCUCGUAGGCGGUCUGUUGCGUCCGCUGUGAAAACUCGGGGCUUAACCCCGAGCCUGCAGUGGAUACGGGCAGACUAGAGGUAGGUAGGGGAGAAUGGAAUUCCCGGUGUAGCGGUGAAAUGCGCAGAUAUCGGGAGGAACACCGGUGGCGAAGGCGGCGAUCUGGGUAGAUACUGACGCUGAGGUGCGAAAGCGUGGGGAGCAAACAGG